CUGCCCUUGACUAAACAGCUUCUUUUGUUGCCGUUUUUGCCCCUCCCCCUUCGUUGAGAGGGUUUCGUCCGCUGACAGAACCCUCUAUUUUCAGUUCGUUUCCAACCAGCUGGUUGGGGGGCAGCCAUGGAAGAUCUGUAUUCGUUGCUGGACAUGCGUGGGGGGCCAUCGAUUUUUUUCUUGGGAGGUGAGCUGCAAAUCCAGCCGCACUUUUAGUCUUCGUCUCACAGAUUUGGGGUCGGGAGAUUUCAUCCUUUCUACAUCCUUCGACUCAGACUUCCAUCUUUCUUGCUUGCGAAUAUUUGCAUCCUUUGUCUUCAGGUGGUCUUUUGUUGCUUUGGAUAGAGCGGUUUGGUUGGUGUUUUCAGUUCUGUUAAGCAAGGGGUUCUUGAGUAAUCCCUAUUGCUAUAUAAGAGGAGCUGAGGUAUUUAAAUUUCACAACAUAUUGGAUUCUAUCAGGAAGGGGAUUGAAUCUCACAGAUUAGCUCAGGGUCAAGACCUCCAUCAAAGAGAAGAAAAAUCAUUAAGACAUUGCAAAACAGAACUUGCCCAAUUAAAUAGCAUGCUGUUCAAAACUAUCCAAAUUUUGCUAUUUUGAUGCCUACUUCCUACUAUUAACAUCUCAAUGUAUAUACAAACAAGUGUACUAUUUUAACAUAACAAGUAGCCUGUAAAAUAUGUUAUUACUUGCUUUUUUGCAACUUAUACUCCCUUAGUUAAACAUAAUGUUAUAAAUUAAA